rnacentral:rRNA from 1 species
UCAUGGCUCAGAUUGAACGCUGGCGGCAGGCCUAACACAUGCAAGUCGAGCGGCAGCGGGAAAGUAGCUUGCUACUUUUGCCGGCGAGCGGCGGACGGGUGAGUAAUGCCUGGGAAAUUGCCCAGUCGAGGGGGAUAACAGUUGGAAACGACUGCUAAUACCGCAUACGCCCUACGGGGGAAAGCAGGGGACCUUCGGGCCUUGCGCGAUUGGAUAUGCCCAGGUGGGAUUAGCUAGUUGGUGAGGUAAUGGCUCACCAAGGCGACGAUCCCUAGCUGGUCUGAGAGGAUGAUCAGCCACACUGGAACUGAGACACGGUCCAGACUCCUACGGGAGGCAGCAGUGGGGAAUAUUGCACAAUGGGGGAAACCCUGAUGCAGCCAUGCCGCGUGUGUGAAGAAGGCCUUCGGGUUGUAAAGCACUUUCAGCGAGGAGGAAAGGUUGAUGCCUAAUACGUAUCAACUGUGACGU